GCCUGGGUGGCUCAGAUGGUUAAGCAUCUGACUUCAGCUCAGGUCAUGAUCCCAGAGACUUGGGAUCGAGUCCCGCAUCGGGCU
rnacentral:tRNA from 1 species